rnacentral:lncRNA from 1 species
GCCCCUGGACCACCUCCCCUGCACCCUGUGCUUGCUGCCCCGCUGCCCUGCUGCCGUUGCUGCAGUGCUAGCCGUCCCCGCUGCCCCCUGUCAACUUCUGAAGCUCUAUCUCCGACGAGCUUAUCCGCAACAGCCCCGCAAACCGACAUGAGCCGGCUAUAAAUGGAGUCCUCGAGCUCCUUUGAGCAGCCAGCCCCUUCCCCUAGACCCUCAGAACCCUCCCCUCGCUUCAAUUUAGCCAGAGCUGCUCCCCUGCUCCUAUGUGACAGUAGCGUCGCUGUCGGCGUUCGACACGAUUCAGGAAGCCCGAGCCCCAUCGUUCUCCUCUCCCUACCCUGCUAGCCUCUCUGAAGCCCCAGGAACCCAUUCCCGGUGUUGCCUCGAGCCAUUAGCACCGUAGGCCGAAGCUACGGUCGCUGGAGUUCCCAGGCCGCCGUGGACAGAGGGCACUCGCCCCCGAGCCCCUCCGCGACUCAGGUGCCUCCUGAGGAUGGGGCUCUCAUCCUAUAACUCGUCGGCGUGCUCAGCUCCGGGAGCAGAGCCCCUAGCGUUGACAAGCAUCAUCGGAACCGCCGUUGCUCCGUGUCUAGUGCACCUAGGAGGUAGAAGAGGAACCCAACAGGCGGGUCUCGCCUGUCGGCGAGCCAGCCCUGAGUGGUGCAGUUCCCCCUGGUACGCUUCCCUGCCGGAUAGGCGUAUUCUUAGUUUUUUUAGGUAAAUACGUUUCCUCUGCGGGAAAGCAUACUCUGCCCGAAACGUUUUCUUUAUAUUUGAUUUUAAAAACAGAGUUUGACCAGAUCUUUGACUAGCUAUAACUUUUAAAAUAUAACUCCAAAUGGAGUGAUUCUUUUUUCCUACCACUUUCUAAAUGCCUCUAGUUUAUUUACUUAUUUCUAAAAUAUUCAAACAACUUUUGUGCGCUAUUUUAUAUUUGUGUGUUAAUUCAAAUAAUUUUUAAAAUAGGAUUUUGAAGAGAGCAUACCUACUCCAAGAUGUUGGGGUACACAUCACCCUCCGCAAACUCCAAAGGCAAGCAUCUUGAAUCCAAAUUUGCAUAAAGUUGUGUGAUGUUUGUGGUGGUGCAUAUACUGCGUGAUUGUAGAUUAUGAUAAAUAAAAUCUCGCAUGAAAUAAUACCUUGCAUAAGAGCAUGUGAUGGAUAUUGUUGUUGCGAAGUUGUGGAAGGCAAGUGGUGAGUGGUUACUGCCUCAUGCUUUGUAUGCUACGUUUGUCUGGACAACCUCGGAGUAAGGUGUGUCUGGUGGAAAUAAGACCAUAGGCUGACACCUCGUGGGACGAGAGUGGUCAGUGAAAGCAUGUCGGGGUGUGAUGGUGGUAACCCUGAGAUAAUCUCUUCAGCAAGAUUGUGUGGUAUAACCAUUGCAGGAAAAAUAUUAAACCUCCCAAGUCGACCGUAAAUCGAGUCUUGUUUGUGUGUCACCUUACCCUUCGUGCUACCACGGGUCUUCCCGAAAGGGGAUACGGUCUAGUAGGUCGUAAAUCUAUUACCAGGUACACACCAAGUAGAGAGGCCGGGAUGAAGGUAUCCAGGGCCCUGGACUAAAUCUAGUCAUCCGGUCAGGGGGCACGGGUGUUUUUGGUCCGGGACCGAGAGGGAAUGGCCCUUCCCUAUUAGUGCGCGGUAUAAAUUUGAUCCCAUGCUAGUCGAGGUCGGAGCCUCCCCGUCUUAUGGUUUUUCCCUCGCAACGUAGUUUGGGUGAAGCCGGGCUUCGCGAGGGGUAAAAAUGGGCGUGUACUGGUUCUGAGAGCUUACUUCUAAAAUACCAUACGCGGGAUUAGUCCGAGUGACUAUUGAAACCCAUGGGUUGUGGGUAAAGAGUACACCCUGUGCAGAGACAAAUCUAUUCGAGUAGCCAUGUCCACGGUCAAGGUCGACUAGUUGACUAGUCAAGUGUCGGCCUGAGUGUCGGUCUUCGGAGGAAGUUAAAGAAAUCGUGAUUCUAAUCUGGAAACGUGGUGGAUGACCAUAUUAUUAUUAUUAUUAUUAUUAUUACUCUGGACUAACCCCUAUGAUUUUGUUUGUUGAAUAUCCCUGGGAUGAUUCUACCUCCUAGAUAUUCUUCCCUUAUUAUUAUUUUAUAUAAGCCAUUUCCGUGGUUUUGCUCAGACGCCCAACUGAGGCAUGCGUAUUAUUAUUUCUUAUAAGCCUUUUCUGUGGUGUCGCUCAGACGCCCGACUAAGGCAUGCUUAUUAUUAUUUCUUAUAAGCCCUUUCUGUGGUGUCGCUCAAACGCCCGACUGCAGCACACAUAUUAUGACUUAUUCCUUAUUACCUUCCUUGCUUGUUUAUACAACAUUGAUGGAAAAUCAUGUAUCCGCAUGAUUGCAUCCAUGAAUUAAAAUCUAAUGGCAUGAUAGAGUUAUUAGUGGAAUUUGCAUGCAUCUCACCUGCUUUAACUUAUUUGUUUUCUUGUUGUUCGCAAGUACAUUCAAAGUACUCACUGGCAUGUCCCUGGCUAUUAUCUUGGCCAGAUUGCAUUCGGAGAGGAGCACGAUGCCGUCAACCCCGGAACCUAGGAGUCAAGGAUAACAACUUUGUGAGAUAGGAAUUUAUCCAAGUCAGCUGUUCCUGUGGGAACGGAGUCUCAUGGACACUGGAGAUUCCUCGAGUCUCUUCCGCCAUCAACCUUAGACUUUUGUUCAACCUAUUAGACCUUUAUGGUCUUGUAACCCAGAUUUUGUAUUUUUCUUGGAUAUUCUGUAUCAAGUAAGUGUCUACCAGCUAACAACAAUCCUGGGGUUGGUAAACACACAAACCUCUUUUCUGGAAAUUAUUUUCUGAAAAAGACGUUGCUACAACCUUGGUAUUAGAGCCAGGCUGACCAUUGGCUAAACCUAUCUUAGUCGGGUCGCUAUCCUUACCCUAGAUAUUUAUAUAUCCACACCCCAGCCUAGCCUACCCAACAACCAACCCGAGUUGCCACCCGACACAUUUUGGCAGUCGGUGCCUAACGUGUCAACCUAGCCCUUAAGUUGUGUGUCUAUAAUAGACACCGGAGUUGUCGCAUUACUUAGCGUGUGAUAGAAGACUCCCUACCAUAUAUAGUAAGGCCUUGCCUCAACCCAGCAAACCGCAACUUUGAGACCACUACCCUAGUAAACCCCCUUGACGUGCAAGAUGCCUGGCUACGUUCUUUGCAACGAGACCACCGUGUCCGAGCCUGGAGACUUUGUAGUCAUCCUCGCCGACCUCAACCGUCAAGUUUUUGGCAUAGAAGAACCUCCAGUGCAUGUUGUACAUGAGGAUCCUACGAGUGAUGCUAUUCGUUACUUUUGGGCCUCGGUGCACAUCUAUGGAGGGAACCCUCGCUGGAGUGCCGUCACCAUUUCACUGGUAGAGCAGCCACCAGUGAAGCCCAAGCCCGUCAGCUUGCAGCCCGAGAGGAUAUAGUCCAGCUGUGACAUCUGUCGCCAUGGAUGAAUAGUCGAUCGUUCUGCUACUAUCCUAGUCGUGAAGGCUAUGGGUACUCUGACCUGAGUUGCCAGUGAAGAUCUUGAGGCAGACCCUGCCCGGGUGCAGGUUGUGCGCAAUUUGAGAGCACAUGAGGCACUCAUCGAUCAGAUCACCUCUGACUUGGUCAUGAGCCACACGCCAACUGCUCGCCGGACCCCGACAAGCCAUGAAGCCGCAACUGCCUCCAGCAACAAGCACAUCUUGGUUGGAAGGCCUAUUGGAUCCUUAAGGCCUGCCCCACCGACUGCGACCCCAUCAGAGCUUCAUCACAGUUUGGAUGACUAUUGCAAUGAAGCUGUGCCAAGAGUGCAUCGUCCGAGAUGUCGUCGCCAGCGUAACCCUGCAGCCCCAUUCCAUGGCCCUGUUGACUCAGGAGUCUCGGCAAAUGGAGGAGCCUCAUUAGUUACUGGGCCCGUCAUCUCAGAGGCCAUUGAAUGUGGAGCGAGUCCGUCAGAGUAGCUGUCAAGGCCUAGUAACUACGUUACCAUGUAAUGUUGUAUUCACAUGUUUGUGAUAGAACGGUUUUUAAUAAAAAAUUGUAGGAUGUUUGCAUGCAUUUGUUUUAUAAGAAAAUUUGCAUAAACUAGUCCGCGUGGCCUUAGAUUAAAUUUUUGGGCAUGACCACCUAGCCAACAAGCCAGCUAACUGAGUGAUGUAUCACUUGUGAGUCGAUAACCGAGCUUCCACCCCGAUGAACCAGGCCACACCAGUGUCAUACUUUGUGUGUCCCUAAACCAGGUACCUUUUGAGACCACCCAUGACCGCUCCUAGAACUUCUCACCAAGUGCGCUACCCCGAGCCAGUCCUCCCCAUGAUACCCACUGGGAUUCGUCCGGAAGUUCUAGAUGCAACCCCACAAAGGUGAAUGUGUUGCAUCGCCGCCCAGUAUAGAGCAACCUUGGUGUGCCCAUCCCUUGUCCUUCAUGUCAUCACCAAGGGUGUUGACCCAUGAACGAGUGGAAUAAUUCCACACACAGACUAGUGGAAAACUUUCAGAUCUUCCAUUGGUAGGUAAUUGUUGUCAGACCAAGGAGACACAUUCUCAAAAACUCCUUCUAGGAGAAGUAGAACGUGUUUUCCCCGACCGAGAAUAUUUUCUCGGGAACCCCUUGCUUGUAUUCUGUUCACCGCCCUAGGAGUGUAUGUUAGUCCAGUAGUAUGUUUUCCUAAUGCUAGGUGAGUAGUGGUGUAACAUUUGAUUGCAUUGUUUGCACUUGCAUAUGAGUGACUGUGUGCCAUGUGAUUGUCUUGUUUGCACGUGCAUUUGAGUGAUCAUUUCCCGUGUUUCCAUGAGUGAAUUAAUUUCUUUCCCUAAGAAAAUCUCGGGGACGAGAUUUAUUUUUAAAGGGGGUAGUAUCUGUCACACCCCAAAAAUUUAAUAAUAUUUUUCUGAAAUAAAAUAUUGCCUAGAACAAAAUUUUUGAGAAAUAAAUUGAUCCAUGACUCUUCUCUAAGCCUCUUUACAAAAAACUUUUCCUUCAAGUGGUAUUUCAAAGAUCAUUUAGUGCUUGAGACCUUGCUUGAAACUUUUUUUAAUUUAUUUACUUAAUUAAAUGGGUAUAGUAUUUUGGCCAUGUCUAUUUAAAAUCCGAAUUCCUGGGUUUUCAAUCAAUCUUUGAAACACUCCUUUUUCCUUUAUAUAUAAAGAUGCUUUCCCUAAGUGAAUAUUUUUGAAAAUUUAUGUUGGAACCUAAAUACUUGCAUCAAGACAUUUCUUUUCCUCUGGCAAUUUCAUGAGAGAUUUUAUUUUAAUAUUUUUCCAAGGUUUCUUUUAUUCAUAAAUGACUUAUAUUUUCUUUAAUGGCCUGUUUUGCACUACAACCUUGUGAUCACUUCUUCUAAAAAUUCUAUAAAAACUUGAAGAUGACCUGUGAUGUCCCUGGACCAUAUUUUUGCAAAAACUUAGCCAAGUGUUUUGAAAUAUUUAAGCACAUUAACUUCUUUUCUAAUCUGGUCCAAAUUUGAGUUUGUACUACAACCUCUGAACAUAUUUUUUCAAAAAUUCUACAAAAAUUCGGGGAUGUCAAGUGAUGCAUGAGAUUCACUUUUAUGCAAAAAAAACCCAACCUUGUGCUUUAGAAAAAUUUAGGAAAACAACCAUCUUUCUGUUCUGGUACAGUUUGGUACUUUGCACUACAACCAUAUUUUUCCUUCCUCUAUUUGCUUUGAUAUUUUGCAUGCUCGUAUGGCACCCUACCAAAACCUUAACCCCGGGAGUUGAGCCCCAUUGGAUGAUUUUAAGUGCACGUGACAUUAGCUUCAAGUUUCUGUCUAGAAUAGGUUUUCUCCAAGAGUUGCACUAACCAAUUUAUUCUUUUCUCCAACUAACCCUACCACCAUUGAUAACACCUAGGGAGGGUAUGAUCUCGAGUUUUUUGGUUACAUAGAAGAUCAUUUGGAGCCUUUGGCAUUUCAUCAAGCACUUAUGGAGCAUGUCCAGAUUUGGCAUGGCUUUGAACCUGCAUUGUGGAGCACGCCCGAGCCACCGCGUCCCUGGCCUUGCCCUUUUACGAAUCGUAGAGUCGCGUCGCGUCGCGUCAAGCCCCCUCUAGAUCGAUAGUUGCCGGCGCUGUGCCUUGCAGCGCCGCCGCCAGUGCCACUCCUGGCAGCUAGUCGUCGGCCACCUCCGCACCAGCAGUAACCGCACCGCCCAAACAACCCUAGCCAGCCAGCUACCCCUGGACCAUCUCCCUUGCACCAUGUGCUUGCUGCCCCGCUGCCCUGCUGCCCUUGCUGCAGUGCUAGCCAUCUGUGCUGCCCCCUGCCACCGUCUAAAGCUCCGUCUCUGACGAGCUGAUAUGCAACAGCACCGCAAACCUACCCAAGCCGACUAUAAAUGGAGUCCUCGAGCCCCUUUGAGCAGCCAUCCCUUUCCCCUAGACCCUAAGAACCCUCCCUUCGCUUCAAUUUAGCUGCAGCUGCUCCCCUGCUCCUGUGUGACAACAGUGUCGCCGUCGGCCUCCGACACGAUUCAGGCAGCUCGAGCCCCGUCGUUCUCCUCUCCCUACCCUGCUAGCCUCUCUGAAGCCUCAGGAACCCAUUCCCGGUGUUGCCUCGAGCCAUUAGCACCGUAGGCCGAAGGUACGACCGUUGUGGCGCGACUCAGGUGCCUCCUGAGGAUGGGGCUCUCACCCUAGAACCCACCGGCGUGCUCAGCUCCGGGAGCAGAGCCCCCUAGCAUCGACAAGCAUCGCCGGAACCGCCAUUGCUCCCUGUCCAGUGCGCGCACAGUAGGUAGAAGAGGAACCCAACAGGCGGGUCCAGCCUGUCGGCGAGCCAGCCUCACCCCCGAGUGGCGUAGUUCCCCCUCGUUUGCUUCCCUGCCGGAUAGGCGUAUUCUUAGGUGCCUGUUUUAGGCAAAUACGUUUCCUGUGCGGGAAAGCGUA